GACGAACGCUGGCGGCGUGCUUAACACAUGCAAGUCGAACGGCAAGGCCCUGCUUUUGUGGGGUGCUCGAGUGGCGAACGGGUGAGUAACACGUGAGUAACCUGCCCUUGACUUUGGGAUAACUUCAGGAAACUGGGGCUAAUACCGGAUAGGAGCUCCUGCUGCAUGGUGGGGGUUGGAAAGUUUCGGCGGUUGGGGAUGGACUCGCGGCUUAUCAGCUUGUUGGUGGGGUAGUGGCUUACCCAGGCUUUGACGGGUAGCCGGCCUGAGAGGGUGACCGGCCACAUUGGGACUGAGAUACGGCCCAGACUCCUACGGGAGGCAGCAGUGGGGAAUAUUGCACAAUGGGCGGAAGCCUGAUGCAGCAACGCCGCGUGCGGGAUGACGGCCUUCGGGUUGUAAACCGCUUUCGCCUGUGACGAAGCGUGAGUGACGGUAAUGGGUAAAGAAGCACCGGCUAACUACGUG
rnacentral:rRNA from 1 species